GCCGCGGCCAGCUCCGCUCGCUCUGCUCACCUGCGCCCCUGCCCACGGCGCUCCGCAGUCAGGAGCGCCCCGCCCCGCGGGGAACGCCCCGGGCCCCUCGGGGUCCCCCUGCUCUCUCCUACUUCCCUUCUGGAAGGUGGCCAACACUUCUGGGCCGCCCGGGUGGACCUCAAAUAGAACGUCUUUAAAUGUCCGGUGGCCAAGGGUUCUGUAGCCGACUAGGAGUCAGCGUCCGACUCGGAACAACUCAAGACCUCUUUUCAGGGGGCGUCCAGGUUGUUAUGAGGCUCAAAGGAACGGCUGCUGUGAAAAAACAUGCUUUGCAAUUUAUGAAGCACUGGAUAAACAUCAGGAACGGUAUAAAAGCAUGCUGCUUACUCAAGAAAUACUAGUUGAGUGCCUGUGUGUUGGGCACUGGCUAGAGAUAAGGGUCUCCUAUGGACAGAAGUGCGGGCAAGGAGCUUUGUUCCUCCCCGAUGUCACCCUCCCACAGCCCACUUGCUAGCAGGCAAGAGAGGGGUGGAGGCCGGCAGUAAGGCAUGUACUGAACUGGACCUCUGGUGGAAUGGGUCACCCACGCUGGGCUUGACUCUUACCAUCAGGGUCCUGCCAACCCUUCAGUGAGACUUUUUCCGAAGAAUCCCUUUUAAAAUGACCUCAAGCUGACCUUCCUGAUGCAGAUUCCACAUAUGGUAUCUGAGACUCACACAGUGUGGUUGGAAGAUAGCACAGUGACCUCCCAGGCACAGCCCUCUGCCAGCCCUCCACUGGCUGCCCUAGGAUGCUGGCCUUCCUCCGAUGGGAGUCGGGCCCAGUCUGCUGUGAGCCAGGAGAAGCCAGCAAGCUCCCUGCGAGGCCUGGAGGAGCCCUUCUCACUCAGCUUGGUGUUCGAUGCCAGUGCCCCCGCCCAUUGUGGGGUGAGGGUGGGACUCUCAGCACAGCCCUGUCCAAAUAAAUCCUCUAAAGCCCUCUU
rnacentral:lncRNA from 1 species